AUGUUUUGCUCCUGGUGCUGGCUAAGUACAAGUUGAACUUGAUUAUCUCAGAGGUCCUUCCAACCAUGGUUAAUCUCCACUUCUAUGUGAUUCUGUAGUUUCUCUUGGCAACAACACAGCAAAUAUAAACCAACUUGCCAGGGAAAACAAAUCCACCAGCUCUCUCACACCCAGGAGUACAGAAGAGCAAACAUCUGAGGACAGAGCACUAAUACUCUCUCUUAAUGGUGGGAGAAUUUGAUACAGACAAUAGUGAGACAGUGAUGUGAGUUUGAGGAGUAUAAAAGCUGAGGUUUGGCUCUUAAUUUUUUUUAUAAUAGGUGAAAAAUUACAGGGGCAGAGCUAUUAGGCUGACAGAAAACAGCUAAAUUCUAUUGACUAAAUUUAACAGAGAAAUCUUAUUUUGUCUAGGUGUGAGAUUCUUACCUUUAAUGCAGUUUUCUCUCUGGUAUAAGUUUUCCAUAUUCUGUGUCAUUCUUAUUGUGGCAUGACUUUAAGGCCAGAAAGUUGCAUUAUCAUCUUCAGGAACAGCAUUCACCAGUUAAGCUGACUGCACAUUCCCUAAGUGCCUGUGCUGUUGUCCACGAGGUUGCAUUUAGAACAUUGCUGCAAUGACAAAGCCAAGCCACAAAAAAUCACCAGAGAGAUGGUGCUUUCUGCCUCGUGUUCGGAUUGAUGGUAGUCAGUUUGUGUGUGAUACCUUCUUCCAGCGUGGUAUUGUGUUGGGUAUUGUGUUCAGUUUUGGGCACUGCAAUACAAGAGAGAUGUGGAGGUGCUGGAGCAGGUCCAGAGGAGGGCAACAAAGCUGAUGAAGGGCCUAGAGAACAAAUCUUAUGAGGAGCGACUGAGGGAGCUGGGACUGUUUAGUCUGAAAAAGAGGAGGCUGGAGGGAGACCUCACGGCUGUCUACAACUGCCUGAAGGGAAGUCAUGGAGAGGCUGGCACUGAUCUCUUCUCACAGGUAAUUGGAGACAGAACAAGGGGGAAUGGCCUCAACCUGAGGUUGGGUAGGUUUAAAUUGGACAUUAGGAAAAAGUUUUUUCAUGAAGACCAUGGGCACUGGAAUGAGCUGCCCAGGGAGGUGGUUGAGUCACCGCCCCUGGACGUGUUUAAGAGUUGUUUGGAUGUGGUGUUUAGGGAUAUGGUUUAAGGUGAAUCUCGUCGAGUAGGGUUAUAGGUUGGACUUGAUGAUCCUGAGGGUCUUUUUCAACCUGGUUGUUUCUGUGAUUGAAUGUGGAAUGUUCUUGCUCAGAAAUGCAGACUCUGUUGACUUAGAAGCCAUAUCUUCCAGUGCUCUUCUACUUGCUAUGCUAUUUUACUUUCAGCUAGUCCAUUUUUAAUACUUUUCAUAGUAGAGCCCACAUUUGCAUUUCAUGUCAUAGGUUUGUUUUACUAAUGAAAUGGGAGACCUGAGCUCUGGAUCUGACUCAUGUCAACUACAGAGCACUUCAGGCAUCCCAAUGCUAGAUGAUUAGGAUUAAAAAUAUGAUUGUAAAUGAAUACAUGUCUACUUUUCCUUGCCUUUUGUGAUACACAGCUGUCAUCUCUAGAAGUGCUUCCAUUUUACCCCUUCUUUGUGGUAAAACAAGAAUCAGGCCCGAGAAAGAAAACAAGCACACUUGGGGGCAAAAAUAAAAGGUGUAGAACCUUUGAGCUGGGCUACAAUUUUUAUCAAGGAAUAAAGUUCAUGAUCUUGACAUCACUGUAAGUAAUACUUGACAGUAAAGGAUGGAUUUAUGAAGGGAACUUAAGCAACUCCAUGUCUAAAUUAAAGAUGCUGUUCCAGAAGGCAAAAUAUGAAAUGCAAUGCAUGAGAGACGAAUCAAAGAACAGAGUUUGUGCAUGAAGAAGUUGUUAUGGUGACCUUACAUUUUGUAUGAUGCUAACACCUACCACUUCACCUUAUGCAACAGGAUAUAGAACAAUUGCAUGGGGAUCUCUGAGCAGUCCAUUCCAGGCCAGAAACGUAAACUGAUGUCUCCCAGGUUAUACCAGGAUAUAAAAAACAGGAGGGGAGGCUUCAAAUGCCAUCAGACUACUUCUCAUGCUUGCUGAGAAAAUGCAUAUCCUUUUUCUCUAGGCGAUAGAUCACCAUCCUCAGCCCAGGAAAUAUUACUUCUACUCAAAUGUGAGCUCUGUAAGCAAGCACCUAAACUAGGGACACCUAAGGAAAUGAAGAUGUGGUUGAGGACCUCUGUGGAAUGACCCCGUAACAGCUGCAAGUGAAUUGCUCUGGAACAAUCCCUUUGCAGUCAGAUCUUCACCAGUGAGCUCAUAACUAUUGCAUGAACAUGUUGCUGAAACAUACAUACAUCUGAAGAAACAACAAAAGAAAUAUUUUUUUCCACAGAAUCACAGAAUUUCUUAGAUUGGAAAAGACCUUCAAGAUCAGCAAGUCCAAUCAUUUGUUCCAUACUGACAAGUCCUUGACUAAACCAAAUCCCUCAGCACAACAUCUAAUCACUGUGAAUUACUAUGGUUGGAAAGGACCACCAGGAUCAUCCAGUCCAACCUUCAUUCCAGCAUCCUUAAUCACUAGUCCAUAGCCUUAAGUGCCACUUCCACUCUCUUUUUAAACACCUCCAGGGACGGUGACUCCAUCACCUCCCUGGGCAGCCUGUUCCAAUGCCUGACCACCUGCUCAGUAAAGAACUUCCAACAUCCAACCUAAACCUCCCCUGACACAACUUGAGGCCAUUUCCUCUUGUCCUAUCAUUAGUAAUUUGGGAGAAGAGACCAGCUCCAGCCUCACUACAACCUCCUUUUGGGUAUUUUUUUUUUGUGAAAGCCAGAUUUAAAGGAGAAAAUGAGGUGGUGUUUCAGCUUAGUUUGUUGUGUACAUAGGUUCUGGACAUGGAAAUAAGGCAUAAGUAGAAUAUAGAUGCUCCCUUCCAAUCCAGUGCAAUCUCUCAAUCUGUGAAUAAGUAGUGGAAACAGGUGAGCAUUGGAUUCUGCUGAAAAAUGGGCUGAUCAAGAGAAGAAAAAGAAAAGUCAGUUUCCUCUCAGAGGGGAAGGAGGUAAAGGAAGUGAAAGGGCAAAAAAAAGCACAAAAAAUGUUAUUGGGACAAUCUGAUACUUCACAAGCAUAACUGCAUGAAUCAUAACCUUGUGCACACUUGAAAGCCAGAGAAAGGGAUUAGAUUCCGAAGAAGGGUGGAUGUUAGUAGGGUAAAAAGUUGAAAGAGAGAAAAUUUAAAUGUCAUAUACAAUGCCAUAUCAUCUCACAGACUGCAGUUCAUGCCAGUAGUGUGAGAAAGCACAGGGUAACAUGAAAACAAACAGGGCCACUGAGUUAUCAUGGUAUAUAUAAAUACAGGGUGUAAGAAUGUUCCAAAGAGAAGGAAACUGUUUGGUAUAGUAAUAUUAAAUGCAGUGAUGCUAUAGAAUUGUCUGACUGUGGUACAGCUAUUGGAAAUUGAGAUAGUGGAACAUAAGCCGUGGACAGGCAAGAGUGCACGAGCUCAGAAGUACUGACAGAAGGUUGGAAUGACCUUAGAGAACGGUAUAACAAAUAUCAACAAAUGUAAUGCUGGAGCCUGUGGUUUUCACCUAUCUCUGCUGGCAGAAUCCUUAGACACAAUGUACGUUUUGCUGAGAGAACAUGAUGAAUGUCUACGCUAAUCUCUAACACAAGUACAUGUAACCAAUUUCAGUUUAAUACAAUUUGUAGUUUUCUGAUGAAAGGUAUAAAAACACAUGUUUGGAAUGCAAUAAAUAGAUUGGAUUGAAUUUGGAUUGGCUUGCAUCAAGCUUGCUUCUCCCCGUCUCAGCU